rnacentral:rRNA from 1 species
AUUGAACGCUGGCGGCAGGCCUAACACAUGCAAGUCGAACGAGUGGCGGACGGGUGAGUAAUGUCUGGGAAACUGCCCGAUGGAGGGGGAUAACUACUGGAAACGGUAGCUAAUACCGCAUACCAUCGGAUGUGCACAGAUGGGAUUAGCUUGUAGGUGAGGUAACGGCUCACCUAGGCGACGAUCACUAGAUGGUCUGAGAGGAUGACCAGCCACACGUGAGUGGAGACACGGUCCGUAAUGCUACGGGAGGCAACAGGGUGGAAUAUUGCACGAUGGGCGCAAGGCUGAUGCAGCCAUGCCGCGUGUAAGAAGAAGGCCUUCGGGUUGUAAAAUACUUUCAGCGGGGAGGCGUGACCCGCAGAAGAAGCACCGGCUAACUCCGUGCCAGCAGCCGCGGUAAUAC